AGAGUUUGAUCCUGGCUCAGGACGAACGCUGGCGGCGUGCCUAACACAUGCAAGUCGAGCGAAUGAAGUUCCUUCGGGAACGGAUUUAGCGGCGGACGGGUGAGUAACACGUGGGCAACCUGCCUCAUAGAGGGGAAUAGCCUUCCGAAAGGGAGAUUAAUACCGCAUAAGAUUGUAGUACCGCAUGGUACAGCAAUUAAAGGAGUAAUCCGCUAUGAGAUGGGCCCGCGGCGCAUUAGCUAGUUGGUGAGGUAACGGCUCACCAAGGCGACGAUGCGUAGCCGACCUGAGAGGGUGAUCGGCCACAUUGGGACUGAGACACGGCCCAGACUCCUACGGGAGGCAGCAGUGGGGAAUAUUGCACAAUGGGGGAAACCCUGAUGCAGCAACGCCGCGUGAGUGAUGACGGCCUUCGGGUUGUAAAGCUCUGUCUUCAGGGACGAUAAUGACGGUACCUGAGGAGGAAGCCACGGUUAACUACGUGCCAGCAGCCGCGGUAAUACGUAGGUGGCGAGCGUUGUCCGGAUUUACUGGGCGUAAAGGGAGCGUAGGCGGAUUUUUAAGUGAGAUGUGAAAUACUCGGGCUUAACCUGAGUGCUGCAUUUCAAACUGGAAGUCUAGAGUGCAGGAGAGGAGAAGGGAAUUCCUAGUGUAGCGGUGGAAUGCGUAGAGAUUAGGAAGAACACCAGUGGCGAAGGCGCUUCUCUGGACUGUAACUGACGCUGAGGCUCGAAAGCGUGGGGAGCAAACAGGAUUAGAUACCCUGGUAGUCCACGCCGUAAACGAUGGAUACUAGGUGUAGGAGGUAUCGACCCCUUCUGUGCCGCAGUUAACACAAUAAGUAUCCCACCUGGGGAGUACGGCCGCAAGGUUGAAACUCAAAGGAAUUGACGGGGGCCCGCACAAGCAGUGGAGUAUGUGGUUUAAUUUGAAGCAACGCGAAGAACCUUACCAGGGCUUGACAUCCCCUUGACCGGCAUAGAGAUAUGCCUUCUCUUUGGAGCAAGGGAGACAGGUGGUGCAUGGUUGUCGUCAGCUCGUGUCGUGAGAUGUUGGGUUAAGUCCCGCAACGAGCGCAACCCCCGUUGUUAGUUGCCAGCAUUAAGUUGGGCACUCUAACGAGACUGCCGGUGAUAAAUCGGAGGAAGGUGGGGAGGACGUCAAAUCAUCAUGCCCCUUAUGUCCUGGGCUACACACGUACUACAAUGGCGAUUACAGAGGGAAGCAAGACAGUGAUGUGGAGCAAACCCCCAAAAGUCGCCCCAGUUCAGAUUGCAGGCUGCAACUCGCCUGCAUGAAGUCGGAAUUGCUAGUAAUGGCAGGUCAGCAUACUGCCGUGAAAAAGUUCCCGGGCCUUGUACUCACCGCCCGUCA
rnacentral:rRNA from 1 species